ensembl:lncRNA
GGUGAGUCUGUGGAAUCAAUGUAAUUCCUUCUAGCUAGACUUUUUAACCAGAGAAGGCAAUGGCACCCCACUCCAGUCCUCUUGCCUGGAAAAUCCCAUGGAUGGAGGAGCCUGGUAGGCUGCAGUCCAUGGGGUCGCUAAGAGUCAGACACGACUGAGCGACUUCACUUUCACUUUUUACUUUCAUGCACUGGAGAAGGAAAUGGCAAGCCACUCCAGUAUUCUUGCCUGGGAGAAUCCCAGGGACAGGGCAGCCUGGUGGGCUGCUGUGUAUGGGGUCGCACAGAGUCAGACAUGACUGAAGUGACUUAGCAGCAGCAGCAGCAGCAGACUUUUUAACUAUUCGUCCAGAGCCACUCAUCCCCAUUGGUAUCAAAAGGUGAAGCUCUACAUCACCCUCUUCUACAAACUGCCCUGGUCUGCAGCAGAGAUCCACCACUUACGUGGCUGGUGGAUUCCCUACCAACUGAGGCACCAGGAAAGCCCAGCAUCCUUCAUUUCAGGUUAAAUUGCACAUCUGCAGCACAUCCAAGGAGAAAAGUAAGCAAUCAGGGACAGUUCUUCCUUGUGAUACAUCAGCAUUGAGCAAGAAACUGAUAGUGAAGAAUUGGAAGAAAGGGGUCAUUAUCACCGCUGUGUGUCCUGACUGCAAACUGGUACUACUGUACAAGGAGACCAGUCCUGGGUGUUCAUUGGAAGGACUGAUGCUGAGGCUGGAACUCCAAUACUUUGGCCACCUUAUGUGAAGAGUUGACUCAUUGGAAAAGACCCUGAUGCUGGGAGGGAUUGGGGGCAGAAGGAGAAGGGGACGACAGAGAAUGAGAUGGCCAGAUGGCAUGACCGACUCAAUGCACAUGAGUUUGGGUGAACCCUGGGAGCUGGUGAUGGACAGGAAGGCCUGGUGUGCUGCGAUUCAUGAGGUCGCAAAGAAUCGGACACAACUGAGCGACUGAACUGAACUGAACUAUGAAUGUUCAAUGAUGCCUAUUUAAUUUUUUAUAUUCACUUUUUUCCUAGAACCUGUUUAAAAUGAACAAUUUCUUGAUAACUGCCUGAACCCACUAAUCGUUUUCAUUGGAUUUAUUUUAUUAGACACACUAGACUACUUCAAAAUAUCUCUGCUUCACAGGUGAAAGCAACUCAGGAUCAUAUAUAAACACUUUUGAAAACAAUGUUUAGAUUUAUCACAUGAUAUGUAGAAAGCUGAAAAGAAGGAAAAUAUCGUAAAUAUCCAAGGAUUAAAUUUUUGUGUUAUGUUUAUUCAUUCCUAUCUAAUAUUUUAUGUACAUUUGAAAAAAAAUUAUGAGUUGAUGAGUAAUGAUAUUAGUGUUUUAAAAUCACAAAAGCUCUCAUAAAUAUUUAAUACUAUGGAUGAUGCCUCUUUAUUUGGUCUCACUAGGCUCAAAUUUUCUUGAAUUUCUUCUAAAUACUGUAGAUAUUACUAUCUGUUUCUUACAAAUAUCCCAACUUCUUUGCAG